GGCUAAACCAUGCACCGAAGCUGCGGCAGCGACACUCAGGUGUUGUUGGGUAGGGGAGCGUUCUGUAAGCCUGUGAAGGUGUGUCGUGAGGCAUGCUGGAGGUAUCAGAAGUGCGAAUGCUGACAUAAGUAACGAUAAAGCGGGUGAAAAGCCCGCUCGCCGGAAGACCAAGGGUUCCUGUCCAACGUUAAUCGGGGCAGGGUGAGUCGACCCCUAAGGCGAGGCCGAAAGGCGUAGUCGAUGGGAAACGGGUUAAUAUUCCCGUACUUGGUGUUACUGCGAAGGGGGGACGGAGAAGGCUAUGUUGGCCGGGCGACGGUUGUCCCGGUUUAAGCGUGUAGGUGUGUGUUCCAGGUAAAUCCGGUUCACUUUAACACUGAGGCGUGACGACGAGGCACUACGGUGCUGAAGCAACAAAUGCCCUGCUUCCAGGAAAAGCCUCUAAGCAUCAGGUAACAUCAAAUCGUACCCCAAACCGACACAGGUGGUCAGGUAGAGAAUACCAAGGCGCUUGAGAGAACUCGGGUGAAGGAACUAGGCAAAAUGGUGCCGUAACUUCGGGAGAAGGCACGCUGACACGUAGGUGAAGUGAUUUACUCAUGGAGCUGAAGUCAGUCGAAGAUACCAGCUGGCUGCAACUGUUUAUUAAAAACACAGCACUGUGCAAACACGAAAGUGGACGUAUACGGUGUGACGCCUGCCCGGUGCCGGAAGGUUAAUUGAUGGGGUCAGCGCAAGCGAAGCUCCUGAUCGAAGCCCCGGUAAACGGCGGCCGUAACUAUAACGGUCCUAAGGUAGCGAAAUUCCUUGUCGGGUAAGUUCCGACCUGCACGAAUGGCGUAAUGAUGGCCAGGCUGUCUCCACCCGAGACUCAGUGAAAUUGAACUCGCUGUGAAGAUGCAGUGUACCCGCGGCAAGACGGAAAGACCCCGUGAACCUUUACUAUAGCUUGACACUGAACAUUGAGCCUUGAUGUGUAG
rnacentral:rRNA from 1 species